GAUCAUGGCUCAGAUUGAACGCUGGCGGCAGGCUUAACACAUGCAAGUCGAGCGGGGAAGGUUGCUUCGGUAACUAACCUAGCGGCGGACGGGUGAGUAAUGCUUAGGAAUCUGCCUAUUAGUGGGGGACAACGUUCCGAAAGGAACGCUAAUACCGCAUACGCCUACGGGGAAAGGACAGGGGAGUCUUCGGACCUUGCGCUAAUAGAUGAGCCUAAGUCGGAUUAGCUAGUUGGUGGGGUAAAGGGCCUACCAAGGCGACG
rnacentral:rRNA from 1 species